rnacentral:sRNA from 2 species
AACGAGAAUAAAACGUGAAGGAUAACGUUGCGUCAGCAACGGCCCGUAGGGCGAGGCAAAGCCGAGUCAUCCUGCACAACCCACCA